rnacentral:rRNA from 1 species
UGCCUCAUACAUGCAAGUCGAGCGGAGUAGCAAUACUCAGCGGCGGACGGGUGAGUAACGCGUAAACAAUCUGCCCUAAAGUGGGGAAUAACUAUCCCAACGGAUAGCUAAUACCGCAUAAUGAUGGAGGGGACAUCCCCUUUUCUCAAAAACCUUCGGGUGCUUUAGGAUGAGUUUGCGUCCCAUUAGCUUGUUGGCGGUGUAACGGACCACCAAGGCGACGAUGGGUAGCCGGCCUGAGAGGGUGUACGGCCACAUUGGGACUGAGAUACGGCCCAGACUCCUACGGGAGGCAGCAGUAGGGAAUUUUGCGCAAUGGGGGAAACCCUGACGCAGCAACGCCAUGUGAGGGAUGAAGCAUUUCGGUGUGUAAACCUC